rnacentral:rRNA from 1 species
GACGAACGCUGGCGGCGUGCCUAAUACAUGCAAGUUGAGCGCUGAAGGUUGGUACUUGUACCAACUGGAUGAGCAGCGAACGGGUGAGUAACGCGUGGGGAAUCUGCCUUUGAGCGGGGGACAACAUUUGGAAACGAAUGCUAAUACCGCAUAAAAACUUUAAACACAAGUUUUAAGUUUGAAAGAUGCAAUUGCAUCACUCAAAGAUGAUCCCGCAUUGUAUUAGCUAGUUGGUGAGGUAAAGGCUCACCAAGGCGAUGAUACAUAGCCGACCUGAGAGGGUGAUCGGCCACAUUGGGACUGAGACACGGCCCAAACUCCUACGGGAGGCAGCAGUAGGGAAUCUUCGGCAAUGGACGAAAGUCUGACCGAGCAACGCCGCGUGAGUGAAGAAGGUUUUCGGAUCGUAAAACUCUGUUGGUAGAGAAGAACGUUGGUGAGAGUGGAAAGCUCACCAAGUGACGGUAACUACCCAGAAAGGGACGGCUAACUACGUG